UACGAAGGGGGCUAGCGUUGCUCGGAAUUACUGGGCGUAAAGGGCGCGUAGGCGGAUAGUUCAGUUGGGGGUGAAAGCCCGGGGCUCAACCUCGGAACUGCCUUCAAUACUGGCUAUCUUGAGUACGGGAGAGGUGUGUGGAACUCCGAGUGUAGAGGUGAAAUUCGUAGAUAUUCGGAAGAACACCAGUGGCGAAGGCGGCUCUCUGGGACGGUACUGACGCUGAGACGCGAAAGCGUGGGGAGCGAACAGG
rnacentral:rRNA from 1 species